UAUCAGGCAUCCUCAGACAUCUAGCCACGCCACACCCAGGGUUCUCAGCAGUGAUUAACAUUAAGAUAAACGUCAGUUUGACUUAGCCAAUAAAUACAGAGCCGGCCAAUCUGGUGCCAGCCGCCGCGGUUACACCAGUGGCUCAAAUUGAUUCGGCGUAAAGCGUGAUUAAAGGGUUAAAAUUAAAUUAAACUGUCGCACGAUUAUUCUCAAAAAUCCUUAAUCGAAAGAUACCCCAACUCACCAACUUGAACUCACGACAACUGGGACACAAACUGGGAUUAGAUACCCCACUAUGCCUAGUCGUAAACUUUAACUUACCGCCAGGGAACUACGAGCAAAGCUUAAAACCCAAAGGACUUGACGGUGCCUCACAUCCUUCUAGAGGAGCCUGUCCUGUAACCGAUAAUCCACGUUUAACCUUACCAUUUUUAGCUCAGCCUGUAUACUUCCGUCGUCAGCUUACCGCGUGAGCGAAGUAAACUCAAUGUCACUCAUCAAUACAUCAGGUCAAAGUGCAGCUUAUAAACUGGCAAGAGAUGGGCUACACUUUCUAUAGAAAACACGAAAGAUUAUGUGAAACAUUCAGAAGGUGGAUUUAGUAGUAAGAAGCUAGAACACCCCCCUUAAUGGCACUGAGGUGCGUACACACCGCCCGUCACCCUCU
rnacentral:rRNA from 2 species